CAUCUAAAGCAGAGGACCCCCCUCCUUCUACUCCUAAGGAAAACGUACCACCAGCUGAAGUUAAAACUGUUUCCAUUCCUCAACCAGUUUAUUCUGUGCGAAGAAGCGACUCACCGCGAAGCACGCGCAGUGCUCCAUGGGGCCCUCGAGGGAGUCCUCAAAGUGUGCGUGCUGGCUUGUUCUCUGGUUCAUCACCACGCUCAGUCCGCUCAGCUGGCCCACACAGACGCCAUCAUCACGCCGCUCAUCUAGUGUAGAAAGCCAUAGUUCAAAUGAUUCUCAUUCUUGUCGAAGGCGCAGGCAUAGAAGUAGGAGAGGCUCUGACUGUGAAAGCGAAUUGUCAAGGUGCUCAGGUAAAUCUCAUCAUAGUCAUCGUAGACCAAGACAUCGUAGUAGAAAAACAUCGCACAGUGAUAGAGAAUCCUCAAAACACAGUAAUUACCAGUUGGUUGAGUCCGAAAGUCAGUGGAAGGAGGUCCAAAGGAGACGUGGUGAGGGUUCUGAGAGCCUAGCAACAGCAAGUGUCAGUCGGCCACGUUCUUCAGGACAUCACAAUAGCGGCAUGGAAACGGAGAGUGAGAGGUCGUACCAUCAUCAUCAUAGGAGAAAACAUCGCAAGCAUCGAUCCCGCUCACCAUCAUCAGAUAAAUUUUCUCGAUUGCCGGACGAACUUAAGCAGCAUCUGGAGUUCUCAUUAGUUGAGACUGAAGGAAUGAGUGAGUCGCAGCUUAAGGAAAUUCCAUACAAAGUGGUCGAGACAAAUACUGCCAAAUCCGCACUGCGAGUGCGUUUGUCACCCUCAAAUAAACGGAAAUUAGCUCCACGGAGGACAAAAAGCAACAAUUCACUCAAAGACGGGCCUCCGAGUAAUGGUGACAGUCCACCACCUCCGUACAGUGAAAGUCCUGUCCUGUCUGAUCUCAACAAAAACAACAGCAAGUCCAACUCCCAGCUGCCCAGGAUACCAGCAAGGAGCCAGCCAUCGCGGCCACCAUGCUCAGCAUUGUAUGGAAACCCAGGGACUCUCUUGGGCCGUACGCCAUUUUUGCAUGGCAGUCAAAAUAGUGUUGAUCUCCUUGACCAUUCAGCGUGUAACCAACAGAAGAUUUGGUCAAGUCCUGAAGUACGAGGCACCGUUGGACUUCCCUGGCCAUCCAUCAUGGAAGGCUUUUACCAACCUGGUGCCAAGUCUAUGUCCAACGGCUAUUACCCAAGCAACUUGUACAAUAACCAACAUCUCGGUGAGCCUAUGAGCGCAAAUCAAAACAUUCUGGAACACGGCCUUCGCAAUGUCCAACGACCCAGCGAUACCUCCAUGCAGCGAUCCUCCUCCAUAAACUCAGGCCUCAACAAACAAAAAGAAGGCCUACCCAGUUCGCUUUCAAACCAUUCGGGCCGAUUUACACGAGGCUGUGCUGUGGAAACGGGUGUGUUGGGCAGUCAUACAAUCACACCCAAUGGCAGUAUUGCAUGGCCCAACUCUAACAACAGCAUGCGGGGCAAACUUCGAGAAAAGCCAGAACUGCGCGAAAGGCAGGAGCCGAGAAAUGUUAAUCGUAGUCCUGCGUUAGCUCAGAGACUCAACAGCUCAGGGAACGUCAACCACCCUCCUCCUGUGCCAAGUCCUGAAAGUAAACAAUAUGUUACCAACUCUUUCUCCUCUGAUCUGCUCAAUUGGAACUAUCCAAGCCCAAACCAACCCACCGCCAAGAUGUUCGGAACGGAAAGUGAUUCGACAAAUGCCAACAGUUGGAACUAUCCAAAUCUCACAAACCACACAAACUCAGGUCCUGAAAGAAAGGAAUUUUCAAAACCAGACUUUGUGAACACCAAUGGUUGGGCACCAAAACCGGAUGCUGUUAAUGGCUGGAGCUACGCUUUGGAUAAUCAGUGGAGCGAAGCAGAUUCAAACCUAAAUACAAAGCUCACCAAUGGAUCACUUGAAGAUCUCCUCUCUCGAUCCAGUCCGAACGGAUCGUUGAAGAGGUGGGAUCAGCGCAGUCCGAGCACGAGCAUGCAAGGCAAAAACAUCUCGCCGAACAGCUCACUACCGAUGCAUCCUAAUGGGUGGCUACGCAAUAGUAACAAGGCUGGUGAUCGUGGACCGCUGUACCUUUCAGCGCAAGCUUAUGAACACGAGAAUGAAAAUGGGAACAAUGAAUCUAAAACGUCGUUGCAGAAUUCUGAGGUCAACAAUAAUGGCCGAAUCAUCGAUGAAAUGAGCACUGAAUUAUAAAGUGUUUCAAGGAUUACUGGAGCUCUUUUGUUUUAAUCUCCAUGAAAUGACUGCAAUUAGUCAAAAGAAUCGUAAUCAUGUACAUGGACUGUACUGAGAAAACUGAUAGUUGGCUUGGUUUAAGAAUCUAUGAUUCAUAUUUUUUUAGUUCAGAAGAUAUGAAAUGAGGAAAUUUAAUUUUUACAUGACCCUUGUUGGUUUCCGUAAAAUUGCUGCCACUCGGUAAAUUUUUGACUAAACAGACGGAAAAUGAUUACUUCUUAUAAUAAAGUUUAUGGACUACAACCCUCUCUAAACCAUACCUCUAAAGCUAGCUUAGUUUUAUUAAAUCAAGGCAAAUGUCAGUUGUUUUGGGACAGCGUGUGUAUGAUUCCUGGACCAUUUUGUAAAUUGCAUGUGAAGGAAGGAAAUACAGUUAAUUUUUGUAAAAAUUGGCAGCAAACUUUUCCAAUUUCUUUCAUUUCUUUAACAAGAUCUGUGUAUCUAGUCUGGUGUGAUUACUUAUCUGUAGAAUUCCUCUUUUACUUCUAGUGGUGAACAGUAUCAGGAAAAGUGCAAACAGGAACAGACGAGAACCAGGUCCAUUUCCAUGGGCAAAGUGCGGAACCAUGUAUCUUCAUUGCUGUGUCUCAAAAUUUCCACUCCUACUUUUUUUCUUUUCUUUUUUGAAGAGAAAGGAGCCUAUUUUAUAACUUAAAAUUUCUAAAGUAUAUUCUGCUAACACACAAGAAAAAUUAGGGAAGUUUUCAAGAAAUUACAUUGUCAAGUUUUCCAAAAAAAAAGAAAGUAUGAUAGGAAGUCUGCAACGUUGUAAACAGAGAUACGCUGUUUCGCACUUUUUUCAUUGAUAUAGAACAUGUCAGGAGCUUUCUCUUUAAGUCCCCUCAGUGGAAGUUUAAAUCAUUCUCUAAUUCACCAGAAAUCAGGAAAAUAUCAGGAUUUUUAAUUGCUAAAAUUCAGGGAAGUUUUAUACUUAGUGUCUUAAUAAAAAGUCGGAACUAUCAAUUUUUUAAUGCUGCUGUGUUUCCCCUCUUUGUAUAUUUAUGAAGUAAUGGGAAUAAUGAGGAAAUUCUCUUGCUGUUUUCUUCUCUGAGCUUUGAUUGCACUAUUUAUAAAAUUUUCAACUCAGGACCUCAUGAAGGAUUUUUAUUUAUGAAUGGACAAGCAUUAAAUCUCAAAAAAAGGUUUUCAAGUUUUAAUACUAUGGCUUUGUCUCAGACUGAAAUUUCUGGUUGAUGUAUAAGUUCAAAAAUAUUGAUGAAUAUUCUGCUGGUUGAUAUGGAAUUUCGUCAAAAAAUAUUUUCCUUCUUUUUCCAAAUACUCGUAUCUGCAUGAAGAUCCAAAAUCUUUCACUUGUAUAAUGGAAGUCUUUGACUAAAAGAAUAUCUAAUUUGUCAUAAUUGCGCAAAAAAUUAGAGUUUUGUCAGGUGCUCCCUCUUAAAAGGAGUCAUCCUACGCCAACGUGUAAACCACACACAAAAAAGGAGUAAAAGCAGCUUUUGGUGCAAAAUUUUCAGGUUUUUGUAACUUGGAUAUGUUUCUAACUUCUUUGUGAUUUUUCUUCAUCAAAUUUUUUCUGCUAUUUUUGUACGAUAUUUGUAUUCUCAUUAAAUUCCUAAUCACCUGACAUAGUAUGAGAAAAUGUUUCAUGUCAAGAUAAUCCUCGUAUUUUGUACUACUAAGUGUCUGAUCUGUGUUCCUUGUAGCCGCAUAGUGUUAGCCCCUACAUUUUUGUACUUUUGUAUGUUCCCUUGUCUAAAUUUAUCCAAAAAUUUUUGAUUCCUGAGGAUGGCAAUUUCAAAUUCUUUAUCUCCCGAAGUACAACAGAACAGCAGUUUCAUCCGAUGACUUUUUGUCCCUUCUUUUUUGCUUUCUUAAAAUUGCUUAUUUUUACCUGUAAUAAUUCUGUUGCAGCAGAGCAAAUCAAGGGUUCUCUCUUACAAAUGCAUGGUUUUGCUAAUGAAAACCAAAUUUUUGUGAAAUAGUUGUCGAUUCACUUGAUAAUAAGGGACAGAAAUUCUUCAUCAGAGUCAAAUAAAAAUUUGCUGUCAGUUGAGAAACAAGGAGAUCACUGCCAAAUGUUCCUGAUAAACUUAAUCCCAUCUCGCAAAACAGUUACUUUGUACUUUUUCUCUGUGUCGGAUAUUGACAGAACCUUUGGUCCAGCAAAAUUUUCCUCCACACCUGCUCAAAAUUUUUACUGCCAAAACUUGAUUACUCACAAAAUACGUAUUCAUUUACAGAACAUUUUUGUGUGAAGUUCUCUUUAAUCAUAGCUUUACUUUUACAUCAAUUGGUGAGCAAUUAAGCAUUGAGGACCAAAAAACAUGAAUACUGCUAGAAAAUAAUCACUUUUCAGAAUUAGUAUUACAACUAAUGUAAGUCACUUUUCCUUGUUUUGGUUCCAACGUCUGUAACUCUUUCCUAUGAGUUUCCAUUUUGGAUUUCACAUCCAGCCUCCUCCUAAAUGGUUUUUUUCCCCUGCGUGUAAAUAUUUGUGCUGAAAAAUUUAACUCAUAUUGAAUCUGCACUCUUUAUGUACCUAAGUAUUUAUUUUUCAAUCUUUCUACAUUUCUUAAUUUGUACCAUAAGCGCUGCUUUCAUCUUUAGUUUGUUACCAUUCUACCGUUUGUCCAAUGACUGAUGACAUUUGUACAAACUACUCAUAAUAUUUUCUCAUUUUGUGAAGGAAGCAGAAUUCGGUAGGAAUUAUCUUUUGUUAUUUAUAUCUUUUCACUUAAUUUAUUCCUAAAUUUAUAGUAUCUAUCCUCUCACCUCAGUAUGUAACUUAAUAUUUUAUAGAAUUUUCACUUAAAAAUAAACAUUUUGUGUUCUUGACCUCAUGAUUUUUUCUCAUUCUACAUCAUAAAAAUCCUACAUCAUCGCAUCUAAGAAGCACACAUUUUUCUUUAAAUGAUACAAGAGACCUAGAGUGCCAACACAAAUUUUUAAAUCCCUAGGCGGCUCUAUCCAACCCUCUACUAAAAUUAUAUAUGCAUGUGAAAGUAAGUUACAACACUUGGAUAGACCCCUGUUGAAGUAUGACCUUUUGCCCAAAUAUCCCCCCAAAACUCCUGUGAGCUCCAUCUCACCCAUGGUUGAGGUCAUGGACUUUUUGAGA
rnacentral:lncRNA from 1 species